rnacentral:rRNA from 1 species
AAUCUGGCCCCCGGGUCCGAGUUGUAAUUUGUAGAGGAUGCUUUUGGUGCGGUACCUUCCGAGUUCCCUGGAACGGGACGCCAUAGAGGGUGAGAGCCCCGUCUGGUUCGACGCCAAUCCUUUGUAAAGCUCCUUCAACGAGUCGAGUAGUUUGGGAAUGCUGCUCUAAAUGGGAGGUAUAUGUCUUCUAAAGCUAAAUAUUGGCCAGAGACCGAUAGCGCACAAGUAGAGUGAUCGAAAGAUGAAAAGCACUUUGAAAAGAGAGUUAAAAAGUACGUGAAAUUGUUGAAAGGGAAGCGCUCAUGACCAGACUUGGGCUCGGUUGAUCAUCCAGGGUUCUCCCUGGUGCACUCUCCCGGCCCAGGCCAGCAUCAGUUCGCCGCGGGGGACAAAGGCGUCGGGAAUGUGGCUCCCUCGGGAGUGUUAUAGCCCGUCGUGCAAUACCCUGUGGUGGACUGAGGUUCGCGCAUUCGCAAGGAUGCUGGCGUAAUGGUCAUCAGCGACCCGUCUUGAAACACGGACCAAGGAGUCGUCUUCGUAUGCGAGUGUUCGGGUGUCAAACCCCUACGCGUAAUGAAAGUGAACGCAGGUGAGAGCU